rnacentral:rRNA from 1 species
UACGGAGGGUGCAAGCGUUAAUCGGAAUUACUGGGCGUAAAGCGUGCGCAGGCGGUUUGUUAAGUCUGUUGUGAAAUCCCCGAGCUCAACUUGGGAAUUGCAAUGGAUACUGGCAGGCUGGAGUAUGGUAGAGGAAGGUGGAAUUCCCGGUGUAGCAGUGAAAUGCGUAGAGAUCGGGAGGAACACCAGUGGCGAAAGCGAGAUCCUGGACGUCUACUGACGCUGAGACGCGAAAGCUAGGGGAGCGAACGGG